GUCCACGCCUUAAACGAUGAAUACUAGACGUUGGGGUUAAACUCAGUGUCGCAGCUAACGCAUUAAGUAUUCCACCUGGGGAGUACGAUCGCAAGGUUGAAACUCAAAGGAAUUGACGGGGCCCGCACAAGCAGUGGAGCAUGUGGUUCAAUUCGAUGCAACGCGAAGAACCUUACCUAGGCUUGACAUGCUAGCUAAAGCCAAAUGAAAGUUGGUGUUCCGCAAGGAGAGCUAGUACAGAUGCUGCAUGGCUGUCGU
rnacentral:rRNA from 1 species